rnacentral:rRNA from 1 species
GACGAACGCUGGCGGCGUGCCUAAUACAUGCAAGUCGAACGCAGUGGGGACGGGUGAGUAACACGUGGGUAACCUCCCAUCAGAGGGGAUAACACUUGGAAACAGGUGCUAAACCGAUACUGGUGGCUGGACCCGCGGUGCAUUAGCUGGUUGGUGAGGUAACGGCUCACAAAGGCCACGAUGCAUCGCCGACCUGGUAGGUGGAUCGGCCACAGUGGGACUGAGACACGGCCCAGAUUCCCACGGGAGGCAGCGUGAGUGAAUCUUCGGAAAUGGACGAAAGUCUGACGGAGCAACACCGCGUGAGUGAAGAAGGUGUUCGGAGCGUAAAACUCUGUUGGUAGAGAAGCGGUAUCUAACCAGAAAGCCACGGCUAACUACGUGCCAGCAGCCGCGGUAAUAC